GGAAAAUCCGUCGACUUUUAAAAUCGUGAGGGUUCAAGUCCCUCUAUCCCCA
rnacentral:tRNA from 2 species